UCUUUGCAGGUAUUUGCUAUUAGGGGUUAGUUCGAGGUGCUAUAUGGUUGAAUGAGAAGAUAGUGUGUUGUCAUCAGCUCUGCAAAUAUUAUUUAUUUGUCUACUGAUUUAAGAAAUCUUUGAACAUACUAAUCUCCAUUUCAGUUUAUGAAUAACCUAGUACAAAAAAUAAUAUUAUUCCAUUAUACAGGCCAUUGGAAAAUCAUUUGUACAGAAAAAAGUAUUUGUUGUGUAUGAGUAAUGGCGUGAUAAGACUCUAAAUGGAAAACGAAACUGAACUUGAAAUAGAUGAUUGAUUGAACUGAAAAGAACAAAAAUUACAGAUAUGAAAAUGAUUACGGGACUCCUUUUCACACUCAAUAAUUGCCUGCCUAUUAUGCUCCCUUAUGUUCUUAUUUAUAGCCCACUCCUAACUACUUCACCCUUUGCCAUUUGCUGCCUAACAGAAUUCUGUUUCUACUGCCCACCUUCCCCCUUCAGUCUUCUAGAAUAUGUAAACCGUAUUUGGGGUUUAUCAAUACCCCCAGGGUCCAAAGACACCUUGUCCUCAAGGUGGAAGUUAGGAAAUUGUUGGCGUAAUGUUUCUGCCGACUCCCAGGUAGCUUCUGAUGGAGGCAAAUCUUUCCACUGUAUAAGUACUUCCUUGCUUAGACCCUGCCCUGCUGUAGAACUCCUAACCCCCACGACUUGUUCAGGUUUAACCAUCCACUCCAGGUGCUCGGUUAGGUGAGGAGGAAGUAGUUGACUUACUUCGUUUGACCUCAGAGCCUUCUUCAGCAGAGAUAUAUGGAAGACAGGGUGUAUGGUUGCAGCAGGGGUUAGUUGUAAAUGGUAGGCGACCGGCCCCACCCAAUUUAUAAUCUCAAACGGUCCAAAGUACUUAGGCCCCAGCUUUUCGUUCUGCCUUCUUGCCAAUGAAUGGAGGCGGUACGGCCGUAGCUUUACAUACACCAAUUCCCCUACUUCAAAAUGUAAUUCCCUUCGAUGUUUGUCAGCCUCUGUUCUCAUUUUGUUCUGAGCUUUAAGGAGAUGUGCUUUAAGUUCGUCUAGCAUGCUAUCCCGGUCCCUUAGUUGCUGCUCCACAGAAUCCACUGUUGUCUUCCUGCUGCCAUAGCGGAUUAACGGUGGUGGUUUUCUCCCAUAGACCGCCUUGAACGGGGUAGUGUUGGUGGAUGUCGGGAAAGUGGUAUUAUACCAAUAUUCCGCCCAAGGUAGCCAAGUGGACCAGGUUUUGGGCUUAUCGUAUGAGAAACAUCUCAGAUAGGCCUCCACGCAUCUAUUCACCACUUCGGUUUGCCCGUCGGUUUGGGGGUGGUAAGCCGUACUUCGCUUGAGGUAAGUACCCUGCAGUUUGAAUAGUUCCGUCCAAAAUUGACUUAAGAAUAUUUUGUCCCGAUCAGAGAGGAUAGAGCGAGGAAUUCCAUGGAGUCGCACUACCUCCUUGACGAAAAUUGUUGCAACACUAAGAGUGUGUUUGAUUGACAUGGAAAAUAUCACCUAGAAAAGAAAAUAUUUUCCAUCUUUUGUGGAAAAUAAAAAUCACCUCUAUCCAAGGAAAAUAUUUUCCUUAAAAACAAGGAAAAUUAGGCAUAUUUUCAAAAGUUGGAAAAUGUUUUCCAGGGAAAAAAAUAGCAAUCAAACACUCCAAGUACAAAUUUGGAUGAAAAACUAAUAUUUUCCAUGGAAAAUAAAUGUAAUCAAACACACCCUAAAUGUUGUGAAUGGAUGUCUCAGUGGUAAGAAGUGCGCAUAUUUACUUAAGCGGUCAACGAUCACCAGGAUGGAGUUAAACCCAUUUGACUUAGGAAGUCCCUCCACAAAGUCCAUUGAAAUAUCCUCCCAUAUCAGAUUGGGGAUGGGAAGAGGUUGCAAGAGCCCGGCUGGUGAGAGCGCACUAGUCUUAUUUUGCUGGCACAUAGGGCAUUCUUCCAAAAACUUCCGAACAUCCUUCCUCAUCCCUGUCCAAUAUAGAUCGCCGGUCAGCCUCUUGUAAGUCCUUAAGAAUCCUGAGUGCCCCCCUACAGCACUAUUAUGAAACUCCAGUAGUAACUUAGGAAUUAAUGGUGAUGUGUGGGAAAGUACCAAUCUCCCUUUAUACAAUGAUUUUCCUUGUUUGACCGAAUACCUGGGGUGCGCUUCCGGUUGUCCUGCAAUUCUUUCUUAAUUUUAGACAACAGUGGGUCACCUUCGACUUGCGCCUCAAUCAUCUGUACAUCCAAUGUUUGUGGAAAGGUGAGAGCUUUUAACUCGACUGGGCCGGAAAUUCGAGACAAUGCAUCUGCUGCCGUGUUCUCAAUCCCAGGACGAUAUUGAAUUUUGAAUUCAUAUCCCAUCAGCUUGGUUAUCCAGCGUUGGAACUCCCCAGGUACUGUCCUCUGCUCAAGGAGAUAUUUGAGGCUACGUUGAUCAGUGUGGACGAUAAAUAUCCUUCCUAGAACAUAGUGCCUCCACUUCUGUAUAGACAGCACAAUUGCCAUUAAUUCCUUCUUGUAAAUGGAUUUCUGUUGGGAUCGACUGGAUAGAACCUGGCUAAAAAAUGCAAUGGGUCGUCGAUUCUGCAUAAGAACCGCCCCCAGUCUAUACCCCAAAGCAUCGGUCUCAAUAACGAACGGUUGUGAGAAAUCCGGGAUUGUGGUCAUGGCCCUUUUUAGAUUCAGGAAAGCUGCCUCUGCCUUAUUAUUCCACCCAAAGGCGUCGUUCUUCAACUGAUCAGUGAGGGGUCGUGCAAUGGUUCCAUAUCCUGCCAGAAAUCUCCUAUAGUAGCCAGUCAAUCCUAGAAAACCUCAUAAUUUCCAGAUAUUACGAUGAACAGGCCAAUUACUCAUGGCUGCAAUUUUGUCUGGGUCGGCUUUCACACCUUCUGCUGAAACAAGGUGCCCCAGAUACUCUAUUUGUUGUUGGGCAAAGAGGCAUUUCCUUUCAUUGGCAUAUAGUUUGUUUUCCUCCAAGGCUGAGAAGACAAGGUCCAGGUGUCGUUCAUGUGCUGGUAGAUCUUUACUGUACACCAAAAUGUUGUCAAAGAACACAAGUACAAACUUCCUUAAGAAAUUUCGGAAUACCUGACUCAUCAAUGAUUGAAAAGUUGCCGGGGCAUUAGUAGGCCGAACGGCAUUACUAAGAACUCGUAAUGACCUUCGUGGGUCCUGAAUGCAGUUUUUGGCACAUCUUCCUUCCUUACUUUGAUAUGAUGAUACCCAGACUUUAUGUCCAAUUUUGAGAAUAUCGUUGUUCCAUGAAGCUCGUCCAGUAACUCAUCGAUCACUGGAACGGGAAAUCUUUCCGGUAUUGUUGCUUUGUUCAGAGCCCGGUAGUCCACACAAAAACGCUAGCUACCGUCUUGUUUUACUAGUAACACGGGACUUGAAAAUGGGCUGAUGCUAGGUUGAAUUAUCCUUGCAGCUAGCAUCUUCUUGACCAACCUCUCGAUCUCGAUCUUCUGGAAGUGUGGGUAUCUGAAAGGCCUUACACUGAUUGGAUCAGUCCCAGCCUUCAAAGAAAAAGCGUGGUCCAAGCCCCGGGCAGGAGGUAGCUCUCUUGUUUCUGUGAACACCUGCUUAUGUUGUUGUAUUAAUUUGGACACCCCUUCAGGUAUUUCUUCCUCUUUGCCCAUUAAAGCUCCACAUUCUGCAGGUUGCUCCAUUUCUACCCACAAUCCUUGGCCCUCUUUCAAUAGGGCCUUCACCAUCUCUCUCAGGGACACCGCAGAUUUAUUCAAUCCUUGGUCUCCUCUCAGUGUCAUCCAAGUUUCCCCCAUCCGAAACUUCAUGGUUAGCAAUUUCCAAUUCACCUCCAUGAAACCCAAACUCCCAAGCCACUACAUCCCCAAUACUAUGUUGGUGCUGCCCAACUCUAAGGGCAAGAAAUCUUCCACAAUGGUUAGCUCUUGCAAUUUCAGCACUAUUCUUUUGCAAAUCCCUCGUCCAGUAACCGAUUCCCCUAUCCCCAUGAUGACCCCGUAGCGGUUUAUGGCCGUAGUCGGCAAACUUAACCUCCGUACCACCUCUUGCGAGAUAAAAUUGUGGGUUGCCCCACAGUCGAUGAGCACAACCACGUCAGUGGGCCCAACUAUCCCCUUGAGCUUCAUGGUUCCGGGAGUAGUCAGCCCAACCACUGAAUUAAGGGAUAAUUCGAUUUUCUCACCCAUCUCCAGUGGAAUUUCCUCCGCCAGACCCCCAUCUGCAUCUUCGUCUUCCUCGCCUUCCUGGACCAGUAAUACCCGCAAUUCCUUAUUCUUACAUUGGUGGCCCACCGUGUAUCGUUCUUCACAGCGGAAGCACAAGCCCUUAUCUCUUCUCAAUUUCCACUCCGCGUCGGACAUCCUCUUGAUCGGACCUUCUCUUCGCUGGUUCGAUCCUUUCUCAGCUACCGUGAUAGUCUUGGUCGGGUAGGUCUCCAGUUUAGCUGGGUUGGAAUGAAUUUUGAAACCCCUCUGGGCCGUUGUUUGUUUAAACCUGUGGAGAUUCCUGUAUUCUACCUUUUGGGCUAUCUCCAUGAUUUGGCCCAACCCCUUUGGGCCCAAUAAUCUAACUUCUGCUUUGAUAUUCGUUUCGAGUCCAUUUAAGAAUGUACUCUCCAUUACCUCAUCCGGUAUUCCAGCCAGAGGAGCAGCUAACAAUUUGAACUCUCGCCGGUAAUUUGCCACCGUGCCUUCUUGGUUGAUGGCCAAAAAAUUUUCGCACAGGCUACCGUUAUACGUCGCAGGAGUUGCUGCCAACCUCGAAAUGGUUCCUCGUUUCGGCCCACCUCAGCCACGACAACGCAUCUCCAUCCAGACUAACCCCUAUCGCCCCCAUCUUCGCCUUCUCCGUUAAUUCAUUUACCUCAAAAUAUCUUUCCGCUCAAAAAAGCCACCCAUAUGGGUUAUCUCCACUGAAAAUGGGCAUCUCCAAUUUCUUCACCCGUCGCCAUUACCUCCUUCAUUCAGGUCGUGUACCAUGGUUACUCUCCCCACACUGGCCUCUCCUGGUCCUUCUGGCCAUUUUUCCUUGCUCAGCGUGUGUUGGGUGUUCUCCGUUCUUCGAUGGUCAUGGAUCGGGAUUGGCCCUUCCGUGAUGCUACCACCUCCCUCACUGUUACUGUUUAGUGCCCCCUUUGAGAUGGAGAGGGCCGCCAUUGACUUCCUAGUCUCCUCUACUGCUAACAUCAUUUUGGUCAUGUGCUUGGUCAACUUUUCCACUGAUCUUUCUAACCCCGGUAGGCAUUGCAAUUCCGUUUUGAUAUCCUCCACCUCCUUCUCCAUUGAAUCAAUCCUACCCUCAGUUUUUUUUUGAGCCAUAGGAACGAACGUGCUCUAAUACCAAUUUGAUAAGACUCUAAAUGGAAAACGAAACUGAACUUGAAAUAGAUGAUUGAUUGAACUGAAAAGAACAAAAAUUAAAGAUAUGAAAAUGAUUACGGGACUCCUUUUCACACUCAAUAAUUGCCUGCUUAUUAUGCUCCCUUACAUUCUUAUCUAUAGCCCACUCCUAACUACUUCACCCUUUGCCAUUUGCUGCCUAACAAAAUUCUGUUUCUACUGCCCACCUCCCCCCUUGAGUCUUCUAGAAUAUGUAAAUCGUAUUUGGGGUUUAUCAUGGUGAUGAUAUAAUCCCUUGGCCAUGCUUAAUAUCAAACUAAUGAUAGUUGGGUUCAUCAUUUUAUUACUUUCUUUGAAAGGUAAAUACUCAUUUAAUGAUAAAUGUUAAUGCAAGAUUUGGAAAUUUACUUGUCGAGUUAUGAGUAUAACAUUACUUUGGAGUUAUAAUUAUAACAGUUAGUUUUAAUGAACUAUACGUGGCAUUACAUGCAUAUUUGAUUGGCCUUUAAAAACAUAUUCAUUUAGAAAAUUCAUAUGCAUUGGUUUAAAAAAAAUAAAAACCCUCGAGCAGUGCUCACCUAAGACCUUCAUUCAACCCCUCAAAGCUUGUGCUCUGAGUACCAUUUAUCCAUUAUUAUGCCUCGUAUUUACUACUUAUUGAGAUGCAUGCCUCAUUGUAUAAGCCUUGAGUCGACUGAGGUUUGCACCAGUUUGUCUUUCCAUUUCGAAUUUUUACUACUACUCUAAGCUUUUGGGCUGGUUUUUUGUAGCCCAGAACGCUUGAGGUUAAUUUGACUUAUUUCAAACACAACCCAACUGUAAAUGCGAAAAACUACAGGGGAAAAAAAUCAGAGAAGAAAGAAGCAAG
rnacentral:lncRNA from 1 species